UUUCGGAUGCAACGGGAAGAAACCUUACCNUGGUCUUGACAUGUCGAGAACUUUUCCAGAGAUGGAUUGGUGCUUUCGGGAACUCGAACACAGGUGCUGCAUGGCUGUCGUCAGCUCGUGUCGUGAGAUGUGGUUAAAGUCCCGCAACGAGCGCAACCCUUGUCCUUAGUUUGCCAGCACGUAAUGGUGGGAACUCUAAGGAGACCGCCGGUGACAAACCGGAGGAAGGUGGGGAUGACGUCAAGUCAUCAUGGNCCUUACGACCAGGGCUACACACGUACUACAAUGGUGGGGACAGAGGGCUGCAAACUCGCGAGAGUGAGCCAAUCCCAGAAACCCUAUCUCAGUCCGGAUUGGAGUCUGCAACUCGACGCCACCGAGUC
rnacentral:rRNA from 1 species